UUUUGUGGUGUUGAGGGUACUUGCAGAAGAAGCACCGGCUAACUACGUGCCAGCAGCCGCGGUAAUACGGUAGGGUGCAAGCGUUAUCCGGUAAUUAGUUGGGACGUAAAGAGCUCGGUAGGCGGUUUGUCGCGUCUGUCGUGAAAGUCCGGGGCUCAACUCCCGGAUCUGCGGUGGGUACGGGCAGACUAGAGUGAUGUAGGGAGACUGGAAUUCCUGGUGUAGCGGUGGAAUGCGCAGAUAUCAGGAGGAACACCGAUGGCGAAGGCAGGUCUCUGGGCAUUAACUGACGCUGAGGAGCGAAAGCAUGGGGAGCGAACAGGAUUAGAUACCCUGGUAG
rnacentral:rRNA from 1 species